AUUGAACGCUGGCGGCAUGCUUUACACAUGCAAGUCGAACGGCAGCGCGGGCUUCGGCCUGGCCGCGAGUGGCGAACGGGUGAGUAAUACAUCGGAACGUGCCCAGUAGUGGGGGAUAGCUCGGCGAAAGCCGGAUUAAUACCGCAUACGACCUGAGGGUGAAAGCGGGGGAUCUUCGGACCUCGCGCUAUUGGAGCGGCCGAUGGCAGAUUAGCUAGUUGGUGGGGUAAAGGCCUACCAAGGCGACGAUCUGUAGCUGGUCUGAGAGGACGACCAGCCACACUGGGACUGAGACACGGCCCAGACUCCUACGGGAGGCAGCAGUGGGGAAUUUUGGACAAUGGGCGAAAGCCUGAUCCAGCAAUGCCGCGUGUGUGAUGAAGGCCUUCGGGUUGUAAAGCACUUUUGGCGGGAACGAAAAGGACUGUGCCAAUACCACGGUUCGAUGACGGUACCCGCAGAAUAAGCACCGGCUAACUACGUG
rnacentral:rRNA from 1 species